GGCAUAACCGGAUAUCCAUAGCAAAAAGGAAGAAAGGCAUAACCGGAUAUCCAUAGCAAAAAAGGAAGAAAGGCAUAACCGGAUAUCCAUAGCAAAAAAGGAAGAAAGGCAUAACCACAUAUCCAUAGCAAAAAGGAAGAAAGGCAUAACCGGAUAUCCAUAGCAAAAAAAGAAGAAAGGCAUAACCGGAUAUCCAUAGCAAAAAAAGGAAGAAAGGCAUAACCGGAUAUCCAUAGCAAAAAGGAAGAAAGGCAUAACCACAUAUCCAUAGCAAAAAAGAAGAAAGGCAUAACCGGAUAUCCAUAGCAAAAAAGAAGAAAGGCAUAACCGGAUAUCCCAAGUCCAUUCAACAUACAUACGUAAUGUAAGCGCGCACCGGACACAGAUCAUGUAACAUCUGUUGCUCUUCACAAGCAAUGAGUAGGUGAAAAGGGAAAUAGCAAAAAAGCUAAGGGGGAAAAAACUGUAUAGAUUAGCAUAAAUUUCAAGCUGGUUCAUGCUGGUCUAUGUUGGUCAGUGCCAGUUGGAUGCUGGUCAAGCUGGUCUGACCAGUAUGGUCUAGCUGGUAAUGCUGACAGACCAAGCUGGUCUUUGUUGUAAAAAAAAAAUUGUGCCAACCGUUAGUGGAAGUGUUGUACCAGUUGAUGUGGUUUUAUCAUUAUGUUGAUGUAGAUUGAGCACCUUGUUUGUCCACUCCCAGUUAUACAGUCUUUGUAAGAGGUUGUGACAAUCAAGAGCUUCACUGUUAAGAUAACUGUACAUUUUCCUGUGACUUAAUGGCAGUUGAUCACCAGGAAGUUCAUGUCAAAAACUGACUGUCACCUUGCUUGUUAUUAUAAAAUUCACGGUAACUUACUGUGGCUGAUCUUUGUCAUGCUCACCUGAUGUUGUGGUAGGAAGGUCAGUUUGCUGCCAACCUAGAGGUUGAUGACAAGUGAGGCUGGGUCCCAAGUGUAGUCACCACAAAUAAUGCAUAAUAGUUGCCACCUAAUGUUAUAAG
ensembl:lncRNA